rnacentral:miRNA from 1 species
AGGCAGUGUAGUUAGCUGAUUUG